AUUGAACGCUGGCGGCAUGCUUUACACAUGCAAGUCGAACGGCAGCGAGGACUUCGGUCCGCCGGCGAGUGGCGAACGGGUGAGUAAUGCAUCGGAACGUGCCUAUCAGUGGGGGAUAACGCUUCGAAAGGAGUGCUAAUACCGCAUAUUCUCCGAGGAGGAAAGCAGGGGACCUUCGGGCCUUGCGCUGAUAGAGCGGCCGAUGUCGGAUUAGCUAGUUGGUGAGGUAAAGGCUCACCAAGGCGACGAUCCGUAGCGGGUCUGAGAGGAUGAUCCGCCACACUGGGACUGAGACACGGCCCAGACUCCUACGGGAGGCAGCAGUGGGGAAUUUUGGACAAUGGGCGAAAGCCUGAUCCAGCCAUGCCGCGUGAGUGAAGAAGGCCUUCGGGUUGUAAAGCUCUUUUGUCCGGGAGGAAAUCCUGGCCUCUAAUACAGGUCGGGGAUGACAGUACUGGAAGAAUAAGCACCGGCUAACUACGUGCCAGCCGCCGCCGUAAUAC
rnacentral:rRNA from 1 species